UUUUACCCCAUGUAAAAAAAAGUGUAUUUCAUUUAAAUAGAAUACUAAUUUGAUACGAAUAAGUUAAUUUUUAUUCAUAAUUUUAAUUUUGAAAACGUGUUCAUUCCGCCUGAAAAUUAAUUACUAUCGUGGACGCUCCCAAAAUCAUGAAACGAAGCUUAGUGCCGUCAACGCGAAUAUCAACAAACACAGCACAAACGAAAAACAGAAUGUGAAAAACAAGUUAGAACCAGAGAAGAAAAACAUCAAAAUGGACUCAGAAUAACAUUUUGAUAAAUCGUGGUGAGAGUGUUCUACAAGUGGCUGACGAAACGGGCCUUCCACGGUCGAUAGUUUACGGAAUCGAGAAGCAAGAAAUAGCAUUGCGGUAUUGCAAGGCGUUGGUCAACUAAACUAUCCCCUGAUUUCGAGAUAAUAAUAGGAAAUAUAAAGGUAGAGAAACCAGAUGCCGAAAUCGACACAACUAUCGUUAAGGAAGAAUAUGAUGUGAAACUUAAAAAUACGAAUGCAAUCACUCAGCCCAUGGCGCCGAAGAAAUUAACCAAGAACAUUCAUAAACUUAUCAAAAAAGCCUCAAAACACAAAUCUUAUUUACGAUAUGGAUUAAAGGAUGUUCAAGUGCGUCCGCGGAAUAAUGAAACAGGGAAAGCAAUGUGUAUAUUGUGUGUUGAAAUGGAGGUUGCAAUUUAUAAAAAAGAUUGUCAUUUUCGCUGCAGAAAAGUGGAAAUCAUGUGUCACUUGCCAUCUGUUUGUGAGAAACGCAAUAUCCCAUAUUGCUAUACGCCGAGUCGGAAGACUUGGGAGCAGCAGUGGGUGUGAAAUGAGGCACAGUCGCAAUACUAAUCCGAGAGCAGCCCAAUUAUCAGGAACAGUUCGAUAAACUAAAAGUGAAGAAUCAAUGCCGUCAACACGAAUAUACCAUUGUGCGAGUUUUUACAACACGAUAAAUUUUUAGGAGUAUUUUCAACCAUUUUUCCAAUCAAAACAAUUUAUGGUGUUACAACCAAUCAUUUUGUAUUUUUGUUAU